GAUCAUAUCCUGUAACAUUCAUGUGUUAUUUACAAAGAAUUAGGUUGGCUUAUUCUUCAAUGGUUAGAAUUAUCCUGCUUGUGCUUCAUGAUGGAAUAACUUUCUAGGAGUAUAUUCUAUUCUACUUAUUUAGAAGCGGGAGUUUGAGGUGCUCAUCGUCGUCCUGCUUCGGGCUUAUUUUUGGAAUUUCCCAUCCCUGCUUCGGGGUUGUUUUCGGAAAUCUGCCCUCUGAAUGACUUCUGGUGUACAUCCCUUUUGUUCAACACGUAAGCGCUUUCUCAUCUCACCUGUGCGCUCCCUUUUUCUCUCCUCUCUGUAUCUCUUUAGAUUCUUCUAGGUAUAGAUUUCUCUAUUCCCCUUCGUUUUCUCCCUUACUUUGGAAUUAAAGCUGCGUAUUGUAGGCUGUUCAUCUUGUUCCUGGGUGUUUUUGGUAUUCGAGAGUUCUGGUCGAAUUGAACUCAAGCCCAAGUUACUUCCAUUAUAACUCUUCAUACCAAAGCAAGACUGGAGAAGAUUACCAUUUAUAAUAGGAUAUUUCCCACGUCUAUCAGGUGUUGAGGUGUACUUUGCUUUGUCAAACACGUGGUGUGCAAUUCUUCAAUCUCCCCUGUGUCUGUGUUGGUAGAUCUCUGUUAUUCCCUCUUUGUUUUUCCUUCUAGGUUUGGAAUUAAACCUUUGUAAUUUGGGUUGAGUUCAUCCUCAUAGGGCUGGAGCCAGUUCUGGAUAUGUAUCUUCAAAGAGCAACUAGUGUAGGUCUUGUAAAGCGUGGUUGUCAACGCAGUUAGACUCGCUUGUUUGGAUGGUUGUUACCAUCGUUUUAUAAUGUAUUGUAUUGUGUUGUAUUGUAUUGUAUCGUUUUAUAAAUAUAACAUUUGGA
rnacentral:lncRNA from 1 species